AAAAUGACUCUCGGCAACGGAUAUCUAGGCUCUCGCAUCGAUGAAGAACGUCGCAAAAUGCGAUACUUAGUGUGAAUUGCAGAAUCCCGUGAACCAUCGAAUUUUUGAACGCAAGUUGCGCCCGAAGCCAUUAGGCUGAGGGCACGUCUGCCUGGGCGUCA
rnacentral:rRNA from 1 species